UCCAUGAGUACUUUAAGGCUCCAACAGGAGCAGCAGUGAGUGAGAGAUGCAAUUAUUUUAAAACAGGAGCUGUUUUUCUGAUGGAUCCCUUAUUGAACAGAGGAGUGGGUGUUGGCAAAAGGAGAAAUCUGAGACAAGAUCCUCGACGACUGAGAGAAUCUUCAAACAGCCAUGUUGAGAAAAGAAGAAGAGAGUCUCAGAGCAGGAGAGAAGAUGUCCGGCAGAAGAAACUCGAUUUCCUACGUGUGAUAGAAGAGCCAUUCCCUCUGAGACAAAGCAGUAGCUAUCCGUUUCUCCUCCCAGACAUGAGCGGGCAGCUCCUUGGUGGUGUAUCAGAGAUGAUGAUCUAGAACAUCACCAACUAUCUCGGACAUCACGGACACCCAGACCACUGGCCUCCCA